ensembl:lncRNA
CAAGAAUCCACUUGGUGGCAGUUCAUUAAUAUUUCAUACUUUCCACUUACAAGGAGAAUUGAUUCAUCCUGAACAGAAUUUAUACAUAACCUGGAUAUCAGGAUAUCUUCUCUGUCUGCAGUGACUUCACAAUGCCUUUUGUCAAUGGCAUUCAGAAUGCCUCAUCUAUCACAAUGGUAACCCACACAUUACCUUGAACGAAGAGACACUUUUAAAGUACAGGAGUGGAUCAGUUAGCUCAAAACUGUAAGAUUACAUCAUAUAUUAUGUACCUCUUCACCCAGAAGCAGCUGGAUUAAUAAAACAUUGGAAGGACCUACUGAAGGCUUACUUCAGCUAAAUCUGCAGCUUGAACAAAUCACUUUGAAAGGAAAUUAUAAGUGACCACAUCUUGAACAUUUAGACUCCAUCAGAGGUCAAAACGAGGCUUGGGACAGAGUUCCAUGACACCUAUUGUUGCAGGAGUCACAGAGGCUUCAGCACUCAGUUCCGCCCUUAUUAUCCAAAAUCUGAUUCAAGACCUCCAAGUAAAGGAAAGAAUGUGAAAAUAAGUAAAAAGAAAAAAAUGACCAGACAUCUGGAGCUCCUCCUGCCACUGCUGAAUCCAUGACAGUGAAAUUCUUGUUCACUACGGUAAUCACAGAGAACGACUAUGCCAUGCCACUUCCAGAUUGCCUCACUUUCGCUAAAAGCCAGCAGGAUGAAAAUUUCCACUCAAGCAUUGUGAACUGGAGUCCACCUGGUACCACCGUGACCUCUAUCAGAAGUGUCUGAUGCCAAGGUCUAAUGAGGUGCAAAGGAUAUUGGAUAUUGUCGUGCUCAUCUAAAGCACACAGUCUUCAUCUCUCCUUCAUGCCACAGUGAAUUAAGUAGAUAAACAUGUCAUGGGAAAUUAAGAUGGAUGAUAAGCUUGUUGGCACCAUCUUGAAGGCACAAGACAUCAUCACCC